AGUUUGAUCCUGGCUCAGGAUGAACGCUGGCGGCGUGCCUAACACAUGCAAGUCGAGCGAUUCUCUUCGGAGAAGAGCGGCGGACGGGUGAGUAACGCGUGGGUAACCUGCCCUGUACACACGGAUAACAUACCGAAAGGUAUGCUAAUACGAGAUAAUAUGCUUUUAUCGCAUGGUAGAAGUAUCAAAGCUUUUGCGGUACAGGAUGGACCCGCGUCUGAUUAGCUAGUUGGUAAGGUAACGGCUUACCAAGGCGACGAUCAGUAGCCGACCUGAGAGGGUGAUCGGCCACAUUGGAACUGAGACACGGUCCAAACUCCUACGGGAGGCAGCAGUGGGGAAUAUUGCACAAUGGGCGAAAGCCUGAUGCAGCAACGCCGCGUGAGCGAUGAAGGCCUUCGGGUCGUAAAGCUCUGUCCUCAAGGAAGAUAAUGACGGUACUUGAGGAGGAAGCCCCGGCUAACUACGUGCCAGCAGCCGCGGUAAUACGUAGGGGGCUAGCGUUAUCCGGAAUUACUGGGCGUAAAGGGUGCGUAGGUGGUUUCUUAAGUCAGAGGUGAAAGGCUACGGCUCAACCGUAGUAAGCCUUUGAAACUGGGAAACUUGAGUGCAGGAGAGGAGAGUGGAAUUCCUAGUGUAGCGGUGAAAUGCGUAGAUAUUAGGAGGAACACCAGUUGCGAAGGCGGCUCUCUGGACUGUAACUGACACUGAGGCACGAAAGCGUGGGGAGCAAACAGGAUUAGAUACCCUGGUAGUCCACGCCGUAAACGAUGAGUACUAGCUGUCGGAGGUUACCCCCUUCGGUGGCGCAGCUAACGCAUUAAGUACUCCGCCUGGGAAGUACGCUCGCAAGAGUGAAACUCAAAUGAAUUGACG
rnacentral:rRNA from 1 species